ensembl:lncRNA
CGCAGCCUUUACGUGGAAAAAAAUCGACCCCUAAAACCAAUUAUGAAAUGCAGUUUAUCGCGUUCUCUCUCAUUCUCUGUCUCUCAGGACACUGUAAAGCAGACCGACUCAGGCUUUGGUCAAUUAUCAAUAUGGCAAUAUCUGCCUUCACAUUUUUCAUCCUUGCCUUAACGGCUGGUAAGUCGUCUUACUACCUUGAUUUGGUUUGUUUGUCUUCAGACCUAAGUCUAUUGCAAAUGUAUUCUUUAUCUAUUGCCCGUUUUAGCUAUUGUCUUAUGUUAUUGUUUAUAUUUAAGAUUUGAGAUAUUAGACACUUGUAAUUACAGCGAAUUGUUUCAUUUCAUUUUGCAGACCACUCGGUAAGCGAGAGUGGGUUAAUACUCGCAACGCAUGGUGAAGAUGUUUCAUUUACCUGCCUUUGCCUGAGAGACAUGCUGUGUAAGGAUAAUUUCAUCCGCUGGAUAAAAGUCGCUGUGAAUCGCACUGUGACAGUUUUAGACACUGGCUGUGAACAAUACUGUCGAAUCUCUCAUAAAAGUUUAAACGAUUCCAAGAUUGAGUUGACUAUUCGACAGGUAAGGAGGGAUGACGAGGGACGAUAUUACUGUGACAUAAAAGGUUCUCGGACUCUCAAGUUUCGAGGAAAGGGUACACUUCUCCAAAUUAAAGAGUCUGAGACCGGGACCAACAGGAGUGAGGUGAUGUUGUUGAGAGAAUUCGAGAGCUCCAUGAUGAAACCAGCUUUAGAGAAACACCGAACAUCUGUGCUAUGUUGCCUUGUGACCGCUUUGCCCACUCCGAAUAUCAUCAUCACUUGGCAUUCAUCCCAUGGACGGGUGGAAGCCGGUCAGACCUGGGUAUCUGACGCUAACGAAAGGUUCACUGCAGGAAGCCGACUACAAAUAAACGUGACGACUGGCAAGGAUUCCCAAAUUUCCCCAAAUGCCGAGGAGCACAGGGAGGAGUGGUGGUGUGAGGUGCAUCAGGGAGAUUUCACAUUGAGAAGUGACACGUCUUCAAUUUACACGAGCAGAGUGUCCGAGGGGUGUCCUGCUGUCCUGUACUCCGCUGUGGCACUCAUCUCGCUGUGUGUUCUGUCCCUCGUCCUGCUCACCUCUCACUGGAUCCUCUACUUGCGCAAAGGUUUGUUACACAUAGAAGGAGCAGCACGAAGAUGUCAUUAAGUGCCGAUAAGAGCUGUAUAAUAAUCUUAUUACCCAAUAUAUUGCAUCUAAGAGUAGGGUUGUAAAUACAAGGUGAAGUAUAUCUGACAUCAUAUAUGAUGACAUGAAUCAUGACUAAUUGUACUGUCUGACUGAAUCAUGUCUAAUUUCAAACUAAGUGGUGACUAACUGAAGACAAGUCACAAGUUUUUUCACGGUUCCAGGUGCAGGAGCUUCAGUCACCAGUGCUACCACGUCACCGUCUCAGAAUGAUACGUCAAUCAGUGUGACAUAUGCUUCCGUGGACUUUCAACGGCCACCAAGGCCCGGGAGACGACGCAAGGAGAACAACCGAGAUCGGCAGAUUGACAUAUACAGUGCAGUUCAUUUUCGCUAAACUUGUUGUGAAUGCUCUUGUGAUAAAAAAUCAAUUAAACAAAUUAGCACA